ACUCAAUAGAUACCCUGGUAGUCCACGCCCUAAACGAUGUCUACUAGUUGUCGGGUCUUAAUUGACUUGGUAAACGCAGCUAAACGCGUGAAGUAGACCGCCUGGGGAGUACGGUCGCAAGAUUAAAACUCAAAGGAAUUGACGGGGACCCGCACAAGCGGUGGAUGAUGUGGAUUAAAUUCGAUGCAACGCGAAAAACCUUACCUACCCUUGACAUGGAUGGAAUCCCUGAGAGAUUGGGGAGUGCUCGAAAGAGAACCAUUACACAGGUGCUGCAUGGCUGUCGUCAGCUCGUGUCGUGAGAUGUUGGGUUAAGUCCCGCAACGAGCGCAACCCUUGUCAUUAGUUGCUACGAAAGGGCACUCUAAUGAGACUGCCGGUGACAAACCGGAGGAAGGUGGGGAUGACGUCAAGUCCUCAUGGCCCUUAUGGGUAGGGCUUCACACGUCAUACAAUGGUACAUACAGAGGGCCGCCAACCCGGCGAGGGGUAGCUAAUCCCAGAAAGUGUAUCGUAGUCCGGAUUGUAGUCUGCAACUCG
rnacentral:rRNA from 1 species